CCUCACGGUCCUCUCUCCCCGCGGUGUCUCGGACAGCAUGGCGGCGGAGCUGCGUGUGAGCAUGACACCUUGUCCAGAAGAGGUAAAAACACUCCCUUGGCUGGGGAGCUGAUUUACCCACAGCCACUGCAUAAUGGAGGAAAUGGUCCUGCAGGAUCCUGGGGCUGCUGUUGCCCAAAGACAGCCUUGGCCAGAGGGCAGCUGGGCUUCAGGCUGGUAAGAGCAUUAAACUUUCAGUAUUGUGUGUUAUUUGUUUUUAAUUCAUUAAUUAUAUGCCAGGCCUGUAGGCACAUUGAGUAACCUGAUGAGCUUAAUCUCUGAAGUUUUACCAGGAAAAAUCCCAAGGGGUGCAGCUGGGUAUCUGUACUGUGUGUGGCUUUGGGGAGCAUGAGUGUAGCCACACUGAGCCUGUGAUGUGCUGUUAUCCCUGUCUGACACUCAUCCUGAGGAGGAGAAUGUCCACUGAGGCUCAGGUACUUCCCUUAGUGGGUGCCCUGGCACCCUGUGCUGUGUGACAGCAGCCAAGUGCAGAGCUGCUGUUGUCAUAGCACAGUUUAGAGCUGCAAAGAGCUUUCAAGUUCCUUGUGCAAACAGUGACAGCUAAAGGGCAGAUAAGAAAUGCAUUUUUUAUCUUGCCUGAUGUACAGUCACUGAACACACAGGCUGGAACAGCACUUUGUCUUGGGCAGCUGACAGCUGCCUUCUGCUAAAUGAUUUUAUGCUUUAUUGAACAGAAUUUGGUUUUGUUUGCAGAAGGUCAAUAGCGGCUUCUGACAGGCUGCCCAGCAGAGCUAGUGACAGGGAAUGUCGUCAGGAAUCAAGGUUGGUUUGUGAAAGGGGAGGGAAUGGCACCAUAAAUCAGACACAGCUGUCUCCCAGGCACGAUCAGCCACUGGGACAAGCACCUGGAGCUUUUGGCUUCCAAGGUGUGACAGGGAAAAAGUGCAGAGACAGUCUGAUGAUAAAUGGGAAAAGUAAAAGCUACUCAGUGCUUUGAGACCAAAGGGGCAGGAUUUGUUUCAGAAUAAGCUUUUUCAUAAAAAACAGUUACAGCCUUGGUUUGUGGUUUCUCACAGAUCUGGAAGGAAGAUUGUUCUGGACUGAGUGUCACAAAUGACUGCUGAAAUGUCAUGUGAAAUGCCACAGGCUACUCCUCACUGCUCAGUGGUUGCUGCAGCCACAUCACGGGACCUGAUCUACAGUUGACUGGAGGAAAAAGUGGUUCCCUGCUUUCUUCUGUUGCAGAAUAAAAUGAGUUACAGAAAAUCUUCUAAGUCGAAGUUGGGUUUUAUUUGGUUAUUUAUGUUAAGGUUGGAGUCCAUACUAUUAAAAGGUGUUUUCCAACUGUAA